rnacentral:rRNA from 1 species
UACGGAAGGCAGCAGUGGGGAAUAUUGCACAAUGGGCGCAAACCUGAUGCAGCCAUGCCGCGUGUAUGAAAAAGGCCUUCGGGUUGUAAAGUACUUUCAGUCGUGAGGAAGGUGUUAAGGUUAAUAACCUUAGCAAUUGACGUUAGCGACAGAAGAAGCACCGGCUAACUCCGUGCCAGCAGCCGCGGUAAUACGGAGGGUGCGAGCGUUAAUCGGAAUUACUGGGCGUAAAGGGCACGCAGGCGGUUAAUUAAGUUGGAUGUGAAAUCCCCGGGCUUAACCUGGGAAUGGCAUUCAAGACUGGUUAGCUAGAGUCUUGUAGAGGGGGUAGAAUUCCAUGUGUAGCGGUGAAAUGCGUAGAGAUGUGGAGGAAUACCGGUGGCGAAGGCGGCCCCCUGGACAAAGACUGACGCUCACGUGCGAAAGCGUGGGGAGCAAACAGGGAUUAGAUACC